GUUCGCUACCGACUGACGGCGCUGGCGGCCCCGGGAGGCGGAUGACCGACAGCGCAUCGCGGCGCUGACCCAGCGCCACGUGUGUGCCCGACGUUCGCCCACGGCUGUCGCUUGAUGCCCGUGCCCUGAAUGCCCUCGUUGGAUUCACACGGAAGCCCUGCAGGCAGUGUGCACGCCCUUGCUAAUUUUACCUGAUGAAUUUACGAGGUGAUGUUGUUAUCCACCCAUUUCGCAGAUGAAAAACUGAGGCUCAGAGAAGGUGAGUCACUGGCCCCACAUCUCAGACCCAGUGCGUCUUUGAGAAGAGUUGUUAGUGGUCUGCUGAACGCGGCCUGCACUGGGUGCCCUUGUGGUGGGAGAGGGGCCGGGAGCCUUCCUCUGACUGUGAUGAGCCAGUCCCCGGACCCCCUUUUCCUCUGCCUCUGCUGGAGGUGGAGGCCGAACCCCACCCCCUGGCCCACAAUCCCUGCGGAGCCUGGACAUCGGAGGAGGCCCGGUCGGUCCACCCUGGCCCCUUCGGGACUGCUCUCGGCCUCACUCUCCUUAUCCAGGCCGACCGUGGUCCUGGGUCAGAGAUGGCCCCCAGCCCCUCCUGUGAUGGGGGGGGGACCCGACUUGGAGCCCCACCAGCUUCAUCUCUGCACAGGCAAGGGCCUCCUCCCUUGUCCUGGCCCUUCCCUGCCCCCAGAAAGCCCGAGGGACCAUCCUGGUCAGGCCAUCUGUUUCCUGCCCCUUCGGGAAGGCCGUCCCGCCCAGGCCUUGGCAGCAGAAAUCCCGCAUCUCCUGUCCCCACGCCCCUCCGUGCCCGGGGUCCUGGCCCUGGGAUGGCUGGCUUAGUGCGACCACGGCCCGGCUGCCUGUUGGGCUCCCGCAGCCCCUCCGGCGGGGCCUCCGCCCUUUUGGCGUCCGUCUCCUGCCCCUGCCCUCCUGGCCCAUUGUCUUUCCCCAGAAGCAGGGUGUGGGGCAGCCCGGGAGCCCGGGACCAUUCCUUUUCCUGCUGUGGAGCCAGUGACAAUGAUGUCCCACACCCCGCCCCUGUGCACAGGGGCCACGAGCUUUCCCUGUCCGGGGGUCUCAGCCCGUACUCGGAGGAGGGGCCCCAUGCAGAGCUUCCCUCAGACCCAGGCCUCGUGCCCCCAGCCCGGAAGUGGCUCCUCUUGGGCAAUAUUCCAAACAUCGGUUUGCAAGGACUUUCCCUUCAGAGGUGAAAAGCCCUCACCUGGGCUAAGCUCCAGAUUCAGAGCCAGGGAACCUCUCGGUGCUUCCUGAAGACUGUGCAUGGACGCUGCCAGCCUCCGACCCGGCUCCUGCUCUCGACACAGCGGGCUUGGAUCUGUAAGCUGUGUGGUUCUGUUCUCCUCGGGAGGCCGCGUUCCUGGAUUCAUCCUGCAGGCACCUACUGGGACGUGGACCUGCUCGGCCCGGGAACAGACAGGGGCAGUGCCCGAACCCACAACGCGCCUGGGCCCGCGGGCAUCUGAUCCCAGCCCAACAAACAACCAGCGCGGAAAUGGGGACGCAGGUUGCUUGAGGCCGUGUCUGCUGGGCUGAGUGAAGGGAGCGCAGACGUGAACGAGGCCACGGUGGCCGGGGUGGGGGCGCGUGGCCACGGACUGGGUCAGCACAGGCCAACAGAGCUGCUCGUGAUGAUGGAUGUCGCACAUCCACGCUGUGACCCGAGAGCCCUGGAAACCGGCUUUCUAGUUGCCCUGAUUUGUAAUUACCUUAAAUUUCACUAGGAUCGCACGGCCAGCAGCUGUUGUGUUGGGCAGCACCGUCCUAGGCAGGGAUGGCCACGUGCCUGUCCCCUGGGGCUGGAGGCCGCUCACGUGUCUGAGGAGCCAGAGGAGGACAGUCAGAGGCACAGCGGGCAGCGAGGUGCAAGAGGGUGGUUCUUUUUGAUUCUAGAUGACGUGUUUCCGGUUUUUUUCAGCCCCGGGAGCUGCGGGUCAGUUGUAGUAUGCAAUCCCGAGUGAGGACGAGAGUUGCCCAGCCGACCCUGGGCUUGCACCCUUGCUCCCCUUAGCGGAGGACGUCAGGGGGAAGCUGCGAAGGGGCAGCUGCUCCUGAUGUCCCAGAAGGCAGGUGCAUUAGUGAGGCUCCCCAGAGAAACAAACCACUAGGUUCCUGCGAAGCCCUUCCGCUCCAUCCAGACUUCCUGACUCAGUCCACCGAUCCCAGUGUUCACCUCAUCCAGAAACAUCCUCACGGACACGCCCAGAGCGAUGCUUGACCCGAUGUCUGGGCCGCCUACGGCCAGUCAAGUUGACGCACAGAGUUACCCAUCAUAGCAGCUCUGCAACUCCGCUUUGGCCGUGCCUGAUCCAGGAGAGACAACCGACCGGAGACGCCACGUUCGGAGGCUACCUGGAGCCCUGUGGCCAGUGCAACCAGGCUUCCAGCAAUGAGCCGGACAAUCAGAACUUCUCUCUGUCACGGGGCUGGGACUCAGGAACUUGAAGAAUCACUACCUGGCCUGUCUGUACCAUAGCCUCGUCUCUCCAGGGAGGAGGGCACCACUGACCAUCUCUGUUUGCCACAGAAUUAAGAGGAUGAGGACCGUUUUUGCCAGGGCUGUCUCCAGUAUUGGAAACUCCCCUGGUGUCUUGCAUGGAGAUGGACAAAAUGUAGGCACACAGAAAAUACUCCUGAACGGACUGCAAGUUUCCACUGGAGAAGAAGAAAACUUCCUUCUCGAGAAGCCGACAGCCACCAGCCAGGGCAGAGCCUGCCUGCCAGCAGCCUGCAGGGCCCCCCCCCCCCCAUGCCUGAGGGCUUUCUAGACCCUGCAGCUCCUCUUUGGGGGCUGUCUUCCCCCCAGCCUCUGGGGUCCCCAUCACCCUCUGCAAAUUGUGCUUCGUCUCUUACCACUUGUGACUCCACGUUCCCUCCCCCGGGUCUGUGCUCCACGGUCCCCAUGCCCGUGGGCCACCCUUUCCUCUGCCCAGUGAGCUCCUCACCAUCCUGCCAGGCUCCUGGGGAGACCUUCGGACUCACAUCAGCAGGCAGCGGGGAGCAGGGGGAGGGUGUGGGCCCAGGAGAGGGAGGCGAUAGGAGUCAGAACCACCCCUGCUGGCCCCUCACGUGAUGACUCUUGGGGGGUGCUGGUCUGCCCCCUCCCUGUCGGGCCCCCACACCAGAGAGACCACCUCUGCUCUCCCCCCGGGCUGGGCCCACCCAGAGUUCCAAGGCCCGGGACCUGCUCCUCACACGGCCUCUGGCUCUCUGCUCGGCCGCAGUUUUUCCAUGGCCCCGGCAGCGAGUCAUGCCAUGGGCGCUGAAAGCCUCCAUGACCUUCAAGUGAACGUUCACAUCUUAGCCCGAGACGUCCCAUUAUCUUCACUCUUUUAGCUUCACAUACUUUUCAGGGGUUGCUUGCCCUGGUGCCUCCCUCGUGUCCUACUGGGCUGUCCUCGUUUUCUCCAUCUGUAAAACAGGCAAGUGCUGAUGCCCCCUGCCAGGCUCCAUGCGGGACUCACUUCGAGGACUCACCCAGGCCUGGUCUCACGUACCUCGGGGUUAUCGCUUUCUGAGCUCUGACCUCACCAAUCAGAGGGCUGGAACCCACCACCUUCAAAUGAAAACGGACCUUGGGGUUUGGACACUCAGGGCCAGUGCAGUCGAGGGCCCCCCUAGGGUCACCCAGCUGCCGGGCAGAGGGACGGCACAAUCAAGCUUCCUGUUGGAGGCCGUUCGGUGAGAGCUGGGCUGCUCUCCCAGGCCACCGGGAGACUUUUGGGAGGGCAGCAUCCUGGUUGGAGACUUUUGGGAGGGCAGCAUCUGUUAGUGCAGACUCCGGUGGGGUCCGUCUGCGGGAUCCCUGUCCCUAUGGCCCUCCCUGUGGGCCUCCCUGUAAGCUCUGUACCCCUGGGCUUGCCCUGCAGCUGUACCCCAGUCUCUUCCAGCCGGAGGGAGCCAGGAGGGGCUGCCGUGGGCCCAUCUGAUGAUGAGCUGUAUGGAGGGCGGGCUUGGUGAGUCAAGUGGCAGGGUCCCCACGCCCUUCCCACGCACCUUAUUUACUCACCCAUCACUUGUGCAUUCCAGCAGGCAUAAGACAGAUGGUCCUUGUCUCCCUGAAAUGAACAUCUCUGGUUGGCGUGACGAAUCUGGAGGCCAGAUGAGACUGUCACUGCAGCUGGAUCUGUGUGUCCGCCUCCCUGUCCUGUCCGUGUCCCAGCCCCAUCACUGUACAUCCAGGCCCCCCCCACAGCGAAGUCUCGGUCCCCACCUGCCCCUCCGGCCAGCCUUAGCAUGUGGGGGUCGGGGCUAAAACAGAAGCCUGAACCCCGAGUCAGGGUCAUUUUUUUUUUUAAAUUUUUUUUUUCAACGUUUAUUUAUUUUUCUGGGGACAGAGAGAGACA